UACGUAGGGACCAAGCGUUGUCCGGAAUCAUUGGGCGUAGAGAGCGUGUAGGCGGCUUGUUAAGUCUUGCGUGAAAUCUCGGGGCUCAACCCCGAGCGGUCGUGAGAAACUGGCAGGCUAGAGUGCGGGAGAGGAGAGUGGAAUUCCUGGUGUAGCGGUGAAAUGCGCAGAUAUCAGGAAGAACACCCGUGGCGAAGGCGGCUCUCUGGAACGCAACUGACGCUGAGACGCGAAAGCGUGGGGAGCAAACAGG
rnacentral:rRNA from 1 species